GACGAACGCUGGCGGCGUGCCUAAUACAUGCAAGUUGAGCGCUGAAGGUUGGUACUUGUACCAACUGGAUGAGCAGCGCACGGGUGAGUAACGCGUGGGGACUCUGCCUUUGAGCGGGGGACCACAUUUGGACACGAAUGCUAAUACCGCAUAAAAUCUUUAAACACAAGUUUUAAGGUUGAAAGAUGCCAUUGCAUCACUCAGAGAUGAUCCCGCGUUGUAUUAGCUAGUUGGUGAGGUAAAGGCUCACCAAGGCGAUGAUAGAUAGCCGGCCUGAGAGGGUGACCGGCCAAAUUGGGACUGAGAUACGGCACAGACGGGUAGGGGAGGCAGGAGUGGGGAAGAUGGAACGAUGGGGGGAAGUCUGAGGGAGCAACGACGCGUGCGGGAUGACGGCCGUCGGGUUGUAAACCGCGUUCGCCUGUGACGAAGCGUGAGUGACGGUAAUGGGUAAAGAAGAACCGGCUAACUACGUG
rnacentral:rRNA from 1 species